rnacentral:rRNA from 1 species
AAAAAAUGAAAAUUUUCACUAAAAAAUUUUACUUUU